rnacentral:rRNA from 1 species
GACGAACGCUGGCGGCGUGCUUAACACAUGCCAGUCGAACGGAAAGGCCCUGCUUUUGUGGGGUGCUCGAGUGGCGAACGGGUGAGUAACACGUGAGUAACCUGCCCUUGACUUUGGGAUAACUUCAGGACACUGGGGCUAAUACCGGAUAGGAGCUCCUGCUGCAUGGUGGGGGUUGGAAAGUUUCGGCGGUUGGGGCUGGACUCGCGGCUUAUCAGCUUGUUGGUGGGGUAGUGGCUUACCAAGGCUUUGACGGGUAGCCGGCCUGAGAGGGUGACCGGCCACAUUGGGACUGAGAUACGGCCCAGACUCCUACGGGAGGCAGCAGUGGGGAAUAUGGCACAAUGGGCGGAAGCCUGAUGCAGCACCGCCGCGUGCGGGAUGACGGCCUUCGUGGUGUAGACCUCUUUCGCCUGUGACGAAGCGUGCGUGACGGUAAUGGGUAAAGAAGCACCGGCUAACUACGUG